GGGGCUGUAAUGGUUUCGACAGGAUAGAGAAUCUAAGAACUGCAAGUAGAUGGCAAUCUUUAAAUGCAUCCGUUAAAUAUAACUGGAAACAAUUAUCAAAUGGCUUACGCUGCUUAAUAAAAGCAUAUUAGCGUAGCACUUCUUUAAUCGUUUUACUUACGGACUUUUAAAGAGGUUCGAUUUUAGUAAGUUAUACCUAUGAUUUGUCUGGAAUCGUAGAAGAAUUAAACAGACUCGUUAUAAAGAUUUUUUUGUUUACUAGAAGUCUUUAUAAUUAAAGAAAUAGUAAACUAAACUUGUAGAUGUUUUUAGUGAAUUUAUUUUGGACAGGAGUUCGAUUCUCCUCAGCUCCACCA
rnacentral:tmRNA from 1 species